ensembl:lncRNA
ACAAAACCAAGGUACAGCUGCAUUAUUCAAAUCUGUUAGUUUGAUUUUUGCAAAAACUAGAAUGGACUUGUACGAUUUCACUCUAUAUCGCAUUAAGCAUUUAUAUCACAUUUUUUAAAAAGGCAAAUUAUUGCUUUUGAUUGACUGAAAUUUAAUGUUUAAAGUGCAUGUAAACACACUUAAUGAAACAGCCCACUAAAAGACGAGAUCUGAUGAUGAAAGGCAAACACAAGGGUAUAUUGUGAUGGGUAUUGAAGGAAGAGGACUCAAAUGCGAGGGCAAAAUGACAGUCUUUAAUCAAACAAAGGAAAGCCACAGGAAAAUCCAAAUAAGGAGUACAAAAGGUGAAAACCAAGGCAGACCCGCAGGCUGGGUAUAAGUAACACAGGAGACCUCUGUGGCUGGAACCACCAGCAGGCUGGCGAGGCGGAGGCUUGACCGGGCUCAGGGGAGAUCCGGGGAACGGAGCUCGCAGAGCGGGGAGGCCGCGGCGUUGGACAGCAGGUAGGGCGCUGCCAUCAAGGGCAAAUAAAAGGGUGGAGUCUCUUAGCGGUGUGAGCGGAAUACCUUGUUGGAGCGCCCACUUCUCAUCCACAAAGUUUCCCUCGGCCCCAGAAUCGAUCAAGGCCGCACAGGAGGCUGACGACCCCGCCCACUGGAGAUGCGCUGGAAGUGUCGUGCAUGAAGUGGAAGGGAUAGUGUUAGUGGUAGCGCUCGCCAGUAACCCUCCUCCUACUGGCGAGCGUUGGCUUUUACCGGACAGGAAGACACAAAGUGAGAGGCACUAGCACAGUACAUACAGAGGCGGUUCUGAAUCCUCCUCUGACGCUCCUUAGAAGAAAUACGCAGGCCACCCAGCUGCAUAGGUUCAGGUUCAGAGUGGGAGGGGCUGACACGAGGCGACGAGAAAAGACUCUCCUCCAGGCGAUGAGCACGACGGCGUUGGUCAAACCGUCUCUCCACACGGAUGGCCAGGUCGAUUAGAUCGUCGAGCCGGGUAGGGAUCUCACGAACGAGGACCUCGUCCCGUACCUCAGGAGACAAGCCCUCCAGGAAGCGAGCGGUCAGGGCGGGUUGAUUCCACCCGCAGGUGGUAGCGAGGGUCCGGAAUUCAAUGGAGAAAUCCGGCACGGAUCGUCUCCCCUGCCGAAGUGUGGAAAGCCGACGGGAAGCCUCCUCUCCAUAGGCGGAGCGGUCGAAGACCCGGAUCAUCUCCUCCUUAAAACGCUCAAAGCUUGAGAUGCACUCCGCCUCAGUCUCCCAGUUGGCCGUUCCCCACUCGCGAGCUCGCCCGUGGAGGAGUGAAAGAACAAAAGCAACCUUGGCUCUCUCCUUAGCAUAUGUGAAGGGCUGGAGCGAGAAGACCACCUCGCACUGAGUAAGGAAGGCGCGGCACUGUGUUGGCUCACCCGAAUAGGCCGGAGGAUUAUUUAUCCGAGGCUCCGUCUGAACAGGAGGACACUGAGAGGCGGACGGCUGGAGACGGAGGUUGUGAACCUGGCUGGACAGCUCGGACAUCUGGGCGGCCAAAGAACCGACGGUGUGUCGGGUAGCAGAGAUGUCCUCCUCAUGCUUACCGAGGAGGACGCCCUGGUGCUCAACGGCGGUCUGGAACGGGCUGCCACUCGCUGAGUCCAUCAUGUUUGUCAGAUUGUUCUGUGAUGGGUAUUGAAGGAAGAGGACUCAAAUGCGAGGGCAAAAUGACAGUCUUUAAUCAAACAAAGGAAAGCCACAGGAAAAUCCAAAUAAGGAGUACAAAAGGUGAAAACCAAGGCAGACCCGCAGGCUGGGUAUAAGUAACACAGGAGACCUCUGUGGCUGGAACCACCAGCAGGCUGGCGAGGCGGAGGCUUGACCGGGCUCAGGGGAGAUCCAGGGAACGGAGCUCGCAGAGCGGGGAGGUCGCGGCGUUGGACAGCAGGUAAGGUUCUGUGGGGUGCAAAGGGGUGAGCACAGAGACGAACGGGCAGGGAUAGCAGAUGACUAACCUAACCCCGACUAGACCGGACAGGACAGGACAAUACUAAUCUCUUGUGCAGACGGCAACAGCUUCAUUAGGAGAUAACAAUCUGACAAAGAGACACGAGAACGAGAGGGUAGAAGUAGCCCAGAUAACAAGGCAAUAUGAGAAGCAGGUGGAGGGGAAAUUAUCUUAAUGAGAAGUGAAGUCAGCUGUGACACAGAAGCGAAGAGCAGUGGGAGACAGGAGAGGAGAAACCAGCAGGGGGAGACAGAGAGAGAAAAAGAGAGAGAUAGAGACAGGAUCAUGACAAGACCAUGACAUAUAUAGGCACACAAAACAAUUAACAUACAAGAAAGCAAAGGCGUAGGUUAGGUUAGAAAGUUGUUAAGGACAUGUUGAGAGGAGGCAGGAGACAACCUUGACAUUAUCCUUUUUAAAACAAAUCAGCGAUUAAAGCAAUGAGUCACAAGACCUUGAUCAUAUUCACAAAAUGCCAUUGCGUGGAUGUAAGCAACACUGCUUUCACAUUCUCCGUCUCUUUCUCUCAUCUGAAAACAUUCUGUUCCUGUGAAAUCGCAAAAUAAAAUGCAACCAAAUCUGUCAGUGCUACUUAUGUUUUUGACAAAACUGCUCAGUCAAGCAAGAUUCACACUCACAACCUUUGGCACUUAAGGGAAGAUGUGCUCCACUGAGCCACAACAGCUCAUGUUCAGAUUUAGGGCUCUCUUAAGACUAAAAUCCUACAAUCACCCUUAAAUAGACAUAUGUUGACCAAUGAAAACAUGCAAGACAAUGUUUUUUGUCAGGGCAAUCAGAUUUUCUAAAACUUGACAGGAAACCCAACCUUAAUUAUGCCAAUUCAAGAAACACUUGUGCU